AAAUUGAAGAGUUUGAUCAUGGCUCAGAUUGAACGCUGGCGGCAGGCCUAACACAUGCAAGUCGAACGGUAACGGGAAGCAGCUUGCUGCUUCGCUGACGAGUGGCGGACGGGUGAGUAAUGUCUGGGAAACUGCCUGAUGGAGGGGGAUAACUACUGGAAACGGUGGCUAAUACCGCAUAACGUCGCAAGACCAAAGAGGGGGACCUUCGGGCCUCUUGCCAUCAGAUGUGCCCAGAUGGGAUUAGCUUGUUGGUGAGGUAACGGCUCACCAAGGCGACGAUCCCUAGCUGGUCUGAGAGGAUGACCAGCCACACUGGAACUGAGACACGGUCCAGACUCCUACGGGAGGCAGCAGUGGGGAAUAUUGCACAAUGGGCGCAAGCCUGAUGCAGCCAUGCCGCGUGUAUGAAGAAGGCCUUCGGGUUGUAAAGUACUUUCAGCGGGGAGGAAGGUGUUG
rnacentral:rRNA from 2 species